GGAGAGGUGCCAGAGCGGUCUAAUGGGACGGCUUGGAAAGCCGUGGCCCUCACGGGUCCCGUGGGUUCGAAUCCCACCCUCUCCG
rnacentral:tRNA from 1 species